rnacentral:tRNA from 1 species
GGUACUAUAGCCAAGUGGUUAAGGCGACAGAUUAGAAUGCGAGUUGUCCAGCGGCUGUUGUUAACUGUGACAGCAGCCGCUGGACAGCUCUUAUCGCAAGUUGGGUCACUCGACCAAACUAUCUAUUACUCUCUGAGUGCGCAGGUUCAAAUCCUGCUGGUGUCG